ensembl:snRNA U4 U4 spliceosomal RNA
AGCUUUGCGCAGUGGCAGUAUCGUAGCCAAUGAGGUUUAUCCGAGGCGCGAUUAUUGCUAAUUGAAAAAAUUUUCAUUUACUGUAAGUGUCAAAUUAUACUUAUUUACUUAUUUAUUCAUUGAAGUG